rnacentral:rRNA from 1 species
UGCGUAGGCGGACCAUCAAGUGGGAUCUGAAAUCCCCCGGCUCAACCGGGGAACUGGGUUCCAAACUGACGGACUAGAGUGAGGCAGGGGUAAGCGGAACUUGCGGUGGAGCGGUGAAAUGCUUUGAUAUCGCAAGGAACACCGGUGGCGAAAGCGGCUUACUUGGCCUUAACUGACGCUGAAGCACGAAAGCCAGGGUAGCGAACG